UGCCGCGUGAGUGAUGAAGGCCUUCGGGUUGUAAAGCUCUUUUGCCCGGGAUGAUAAUGACUGUACCGGGAGAAUAAGCCCCGGCUAACUCCGUGCCAGCAGCCGCGGUAAUACUGAGGGGGCUAGCGUUGUUCGGAAUUACUGGGCGUAAAGCGCACGUAAGCGGUUACUCAAGUCACAGGUGAAAGCCCGGAGCUCAACCCCAGAACUGCCUUUGAGACUCGGUCACUAGAAUCUUGUAGAGGCGAGUGGAAUUCCGAGUGUAGAGGUGAAAUUCGUAUAUAUUCGGAAGAACACCAUUGGCGAAGGCGACUCGCUGGACCAGUAUUGACGCUGAGGUGCGAAAGCGUGGGGAGCAAACAGGAUUAAAUACCCUGGUAGUCCACGCCAUAAACGAUGAUGACUAGCUGUCCGGGCACAUGGUGUUUGGGUGGGGCAGCUCAUCCAUUAAUUUAUCCCCCUGGGGAGUACGGUCGCAAAAUUAAAACUCAAAGGAAUUGACGGGGGCCUGCUCAAGCGGUGUAGCAUGUGGUUUAAUUCGAAGCAACGCGCAUAACCUUACCAGCGUUUGACAUCCUACGCUACCCAGACAGAUUUGUGGUUCCCUUCCGGGACAUAUAGA
rnacentral:rRNA from 1 species